GACGAACGCUGGCGGCGUGCUUAACACAUGCAAGUCGAACGGAAAGGCCCUGCUUUUGUGGGGUGCUCGAGUGGCGAACGGGUGAGUAACAAGUGAGUAACCUGCCCUUGACUUUGGGAUAACUUCAGGAAACUGGGGCUAAUACCGGAUAGGAGCUCCUGCUGCAUGGUGGGGGUUGGAAAGUUUCGGCGGUGGGGGAUGGACUCGCGGCUUAUCAGCUUGUUGGUGGGGUAGUGGCUUACCAAGGCUUUGACGGGUAGCCGGCCUGAGAGGGUGACCGGCCACAUUGGGACUGAGAUACGGCCCAGACUCCUACGGGAGGCAGCAGUGGGGAAUAUUGCACAAUGGGAGGAAGCCUGAUGCAGCAACGCCGCGUGCGGGAUGACGGCCUUCGGGUUGUAAACCGCUUUCGCCUGUGACGAAGCGUGAGUGACGGUAAUGGGUAAAGAAGCACCGGCUAACUACGUG
rnacentral:rRNA from 1 species